rnacentral:rRNA from 1 species
UACGUAGGGGGCAAGCGUUGUCCGGAUUUAUUGGGCGUAAAGAGCGUGUAGGCGGCCAGGUAGGUCUGCUGUGAAAACUCGAGGCUUAACCUCGAGAUGUCGGCGGAAACCAUCAGGCUAGAGUCCGGAAGAGGAGAGUGGAAUUCCUGGUGUAGCGGUGAAAUGCGCAGAUAUCAGGAAGAACACCCGUGGCUAAGGCGGCUCUCUAGUACGGUACUGACGCUGAGACGCGAAAGCGUGGGGAGCGAACAGG